AUCGCUUCUCAGCCUUUUGGCUAAGACCAAGUGUAGCCAAAGUGUUCUUAUCAGUUUAAUAUCUGAUACGUCCUCUCUCCAAGGACAAUAUAUUAACUGGAUUUUUUUUGGGCAGGGAGUUGGAAUAGGAGCUUGCUCUGUCCACUCCAUGCAUCGACCUGCUAUUGCAGUACUUCCAGGAAUGGUCCACCUCCU
ensembl:snRNA U2 U2 spliceosomal RNA